UACGUAGGGGCUAGCGUUGUCCGGAAUUAUUGGGCGUAAAGGGCUCGUAGGCGGUCUGUUGCGUCGGGAGUGAAAACUCAGGGCUUAACCCUGGGCUGGCUUCCGAUACGGGCAGACUAGAGGUAUGCAGGGGAGAACGGAAUUCCUGGUGUAGCGGUGAAAUGCGCAGAUAUCAGGAGGAACACCGGUGGCGAAGGCGGUUCUCUGGGCAUUACCUGACGCUGAGGAGCGAAAGUGUGGGGAGCGAACAGG
rnacentral:rRNA from 1 species